CAGAAUAAUAGAUUUUCUAGGCUCUUCAAUCCUCAAUGUCUGCAGAGGUCAACGUGGGGCCUGGCCAAAGUCAGGAAUCCCACCCAGAUCUCUCAUUUGGGUAGCGGGAUCCCAAGAACUUGGACUAUCAUCAGCUACUUCCUAGUGCAUUAGUAGGGAGAAGAAUUUUAAGCAGAAUAUUUGGGACUUGAAUUGGCACUCCAAUAUGGAAUGUCAGUGUUCCAAGUGGGAGCCUAACCACUGCACCACAACACCCACUCCUACUGAUACAAAUAUUUAUCCCUUCAAAAAUGUUUACAGAAACAUGUUUGAAGAAGUAUCUAGACACUGGGACCUAGCCAAGUUGACUGGUGAAAUUAACCACCACAGAUAAUUUUUAUAGCUUCCAAGACACAGGAGAAUGUUUUACAGAAAAUACAGCUAUUUGGUUGAAUCAACUGCUUUGCAGUGCAUUCUUUCUCCUAUAAUUGUUUGUGGCUUGAAAAUUCAGAUAUAUUCUGAAAAUGUCUUCAGACUCCUCCAAAGAGAGGUUUAUUUAACUAUACAGGAAUUUCACUUGGCUUGGAAUUAAUUCAGUCAGCCGAAGUUACACAGGAUAUUGGAAUAGCAGCCAGUACUUGGAAUCUCAACUCAUUCAGCACCCUGCCUCCAAACACCCAGGAAGAGAUUUCAGACUCCUGUUUGCUGCCCUGCCCAGAGACUGAUCAUUGCCACCUUCUGCCCUGGUGGGGCCUGGGACAGACUCAGAGAAGACAGAGAGGGUGUGCUGCAUCACCAGGUGGGGUCAGGGCACCUGUGAGAGUCUGCACUUGCUCUGUGAGUAUGCUCAUACCUGAAAGAAUGCAUCUUUGAAUAGAAAAUCAAAAAGCACCAAAGACAGGUUAAGAGAGAAAGAUGGUAGAGAAAAGAAAAAAGCUCCCCCCGCCAUUGAUAUUUAAACAAAUCGCAUUACUUUUUAAAAAUAUUUAUUUAUUUAUUUGAAAGACAGAGUUAUACACAGAGAGAGGAGAGAAAGAGAGAGAGAGAGAGAGAGGUCUUCCAUCCAAUGGUUCACUUCCCAAUUGGCCACAACAGUCGGAGCUGAGCCGAUCCAAAGCCAGGAGUCAGGAGCUUCUUCCUCCAGGUCUCCCACGCGGGUGCAGGGGCGCAAGGACUUGGACCAUCUUCCACUGCUUUCCUGGGCCAUGGCAGAGAGCUGGGUCAGAAGUGGAGCAGCCGGGUCUGAAACUGGCAUCCAUAUGGGAUGCCGGCGCUACAGACCAGGGCGUUAACCCACUGCACC
rnacentral:lncRNA from 1 species